GGAGGGCCUGCCCGGCAGGUGACCCCAGCGCGGAGCCCUAACCCGGGGGAGCCGGACCCGCGGAGACCCCGGGCUGGUGCGGCCGCCCAGAGGGGAAUGUGGCUGGAGUUGAUAGAGCGAGGAGGAGAGACCAAGGGCUUUGUGCUUCCCGCUUCGUGAGCUGGAACCGCUGCCGGCUUUGGCGGAGUCACUCAGCAGUAGUAAAAGGACGCCCAUGACCGCAGUGAGGAUAUUAAAAUGAGUGAGUUAUGGCAGAAGCAGGCCGAUUAAUUACGAUACUGCAGGAAUCCUGGCAAGAGGUGACAGGCCUUGUUGCAGCUCUGCAAUUUCAUCAUCAUUAAAUGCACCCCAGUGUGAACCGCAAGGCUGCUGCUUUCUGUCUUGUCAGGACCCAGUGAUUCUUUGUGGCUCGGUUUGUUGUGCUUCAGAUAUAAAAGGCUGCAAAUACUGUUCUACUUAAGUCAACAAGGACUGCAAAGCAGCUGCCUUUAAAUUAUGAUAAUGGGGGCAGCUGUUCAGUUUCUCCCCUCAAUGCAAAUCAGAAGCAAGCUGAGGAAGGAGAGAGUUCAGACCGUGCGGUCGGCUCACCAGAGUGAGUGCUCUCUAGAGGCUGCUGGUUUAAUGGCAGUGUCGCUACAACACCAAGGACUGCUGAGUUCCACUUCCAGUCAGAUACCAGUUGAGAGCUGGAUGCCAGAGAGAAGGCAGCCACCUGUGAGAUAACUGAUACCCAGUCCCAGUUGAAAAGUCAGAGACACCAUCUCAGAUCAUGAGCUGACCUUGAGACUGGAAGCCAAGACCUAGGAUAGUCAAGCAGAAAGAUAGAAUCCUGGGCUCCUAGUGGCAAAGCAGAGCCACCACAGCAGCUCUGACCUUCUUGGCUUCAGAUUUCUUGUCUAUGAGUGAAAAAUAUACCUCGAUUUUGUUUCAGAUACUAUUAUUUUGGAGUUUUCUCUUAUAUUCAGCUAAGUAAGAUCCCAACUAACAUAGUCUCUUUAACAACUUUCUUUUAAAAUACUGAAGACUGGCAGAGAAGAGUAUGAGUAUGCAGGACUCUCCCGCCUGAGUAUCAGCAUAGCCUUCCCAGCUUCCUUUCUUUCUAGUCCCGAGACAGCAUUUGGGAGUCACCUCAUCAGUGCCUCGGCGAGACCCCUAGACUGCGAGCAGAAGACUCCAACUCUGGAUAAUGAAGCCAAAGGAGACUUAGCACAAGGACAUUGGAAACCACUGAAUUGGCAGAAGAGAGAAGCACCCUGGGAAUGGACAUGUAUCCAUGCAGCUCCGCAGGCUGAAUCAAUAACAACCUGGGGAGGUUGACACUGCUGCUGCGGCCCUGCCGUCUUUGUGUGUAUGAGUGGCCUUUAACCCAUACACUCACCCAAGUGAUGUUUCAGGGUAGAUGGCAUGAAUCCAUGAAUAGGGAGAGGUGACUCUUGAAAAGAAAUCCAGAGUGUUACUGAGAUGGAGAAAUGGAAACGAUGCAAGAAAAAAAAUGAUACAUAUCCUGAGUCAGGUCUCACCUGGGUCUAAGUCUCCUGUCCCUCUCUUCUUCAUGAAAGACAUCCCCUUUUCUGAGUCAGUCAAUUGCAAUCCCUCACUUUGGCAUGGCCAACCUAUCCUGUUCUCCUUUCUGUCCUUUUAUUUUCUUUGCUCGUUAGAAAGAAAUGAUUGGACAGGAAUAUACUGUCCUAUAUAUUCUUUAGCACAGCAUUCCAUAUACAACGUAGGGAAGAUCAAAGAUGAAAGACAAUACUUUUUGCAAUAAAUGGUAAUUUCAAUGCUUGGAUUUUCAUACAAGUUGAGUAACAUAAGAGAUUAAAUCUUUUUGAAGCUAUAAAGAUUGUCAUUGUGCAUAUUAUUAGUAUUUUAAUGUUUAAAUAUUUUAUGAUUCAUGCAUUUUGAAAACUAGAUAUUAACAAUUAUAAAAAACAAUAUU